ACAUCCAGAGAACUUUCCAGAGAUGGAUUGGUGCCUUCGGGAACUCUGAGACAGGUGCUGCAUGGCUGUCGUCAGCUCGUGUUGUGAAAUGUUGGGUUAAGUCCCGCAACGAGCGCAACCCUUAUCCUUUGUUGCCAGCGGUUAGGCCGGGAACUCAAAGGAGACUGCCAGUGAUAAACUGGAGGAAGUGGGGAUGACGUCAAGUCAUCAUGGCCCUUACGAGUAGGGCUACACACGUGCUACAAUGGCGCAUACAAAGAGAAGCGACCUCGCGAGAGCAAGCGGACCUCAUAAAGUGCGUCGUAGUCCGGAUUGGAGUCUGCAACUCGACUCCACGAAGUCGGAAUCGCUAGUAAUCGUGGAUCAGAAUGCCACGGUGAAUACGUUCCCGGGCCUUGUACACACCGCCCGUCACACCAUGGGAGUGGGUUGCAAAAGAAGUAGGUAGCUUAACCUUCGGGAGGGCGCUUACCACUUUGUGAUUCAUGACUGGGGUGAAGUCGUAACAAGGUAGGCGUAGUGCU
rnacentral:rRNA from 1 species